UGGAACCCAGCCAUCUUGGCUCUCUCGUGUUGGACUCCAACCGAGACUGACCAGAAGAAGGGUACUCACCAUCAGACGUCUGAACCGCGCGUUUCCUCCUCUAUCUAACUCUGAUCAAGUUAGAUUUCAGAAACACGCGAUCAUCAACUCAAAAAAGUGGCUGCCCCCCCUUUUCUCUUCUUAAUUCCGCGCGCGCAGCACUGCUGAAAAGACUUUCGUCAUCAUCCACGAAGAUCUUCAAAGCAACCUCUCUCUCUUCCUCUCCAAGAUCUACUUCUCCAGUGAGACGGUGCUUCCUACAAAGGCGAGACUUUUUGCAGUAAGAAAAGGCACUGGGCGAAAGAUUAGUUUUAGUAAUUAAUUCACUAAGUGUGAAGUUAGAUUCAGGAAUAAGUGUGCACACUGUAUUAUUGUUGAUUUUCUAUUACAUAGGUGGCCAACCCGCGGCUCGCGAGCCGCAUGCGGCUUUUUGCCUGGUGUCAUGCGGCUCUCACCUUCAUGUCCAAGUUGGUGUUCGUUUGUGGUUUUAUGUGCGUUUUUGCUUCACUGCAGUUAAUUAUGGUUAUUUUAUUAAAGGUGCUUCACUUGGUUUCAUUACGGUAUUUUCACAUCAUGACAAAUGCGCAGGUGCGUGAGAUGAUAUGCUAAAUUUCAGAUCUCAAAAUGGCAGGGAAAAAAUGCACUUCAAAAAGAAAAUAUGAAGAUGAAAACAGGACGUUUUUAACAGAGUGGGAGGAUUUAUAUUUUUUCGUUGAACGUUAUGGCAAGCCAUUCUGCCUUCUAUGUCAGUCGUCAUUGUCGCAUUUCAAGUCUUCAAAUCUUCAGCGUCACUUCAGCUCACUACAUGCUAAAAUCGACCAGGACUUUCCGAAAGGGAGUGAACUUCGUAAACACAAGUUAAUCACAUUAAAAAGUCAAUCACAAAAGCAGGUACAGCUCCUCAAAAAAUUUACAAAACAAUCAGAGACAGUAACACAUGCAUCGUAUAAACUGGCUUGGAACAUUGCUCGGGCUAAAAAGCCAUACAAUGAAGGGGAAUGAGAUUGUGUGAGAUUGUGUGACAUUGAAUGAGAAGGUGUGUCCAAACUUUUGGCAUGUAGUGUAUAUACAUUAUGUAUUUGUUCAUUUGUUUUCCAGUUAUCAAUUUGUGUGUGUGCGUGUGUUCUUCUUUCAAAAAUUUGAGCAUUGUAUUAUAUUUUAUCUAUAUUUGCACUUGCACUGAUCACUGUUCCCAGUGCCUAUGGAGCUUGUACUGUUUGAGGAAAUUAAAUUAGCACUUUGUAAUUUC